rnacentral:rRNA from 1 species
AUGGGCGCUGGCCUAUAUGGUUAUCUCGAUCAAACCAUCGAAGAACCUUCCAAAACAAUCACCACCAAAACCUCCGAUGGCAAGGACCAGGCUGUUGUGAACCCUGCCUAUGCCCCCUGGUUAAUCCAGGACCAACAGAUCGUAGCUUACCUUCUCAGGAAUCUCUCCAAAGAGGUCCUCGUCCAGGUCGCAUCGCUUGAGCGAUCACAUGCGAUCUGGAGUGCUUUAGGGAACAUGUUCUCCGCUGUUUCCCUCUCUCGCGCCAACAACGUCGCUCUC